UGCUCAUAAUGCGCUCUUGAAUAGAAUAUUUUGCAAUUAAAAUCCCUUUGAAUUUGUGUUGACCGACUUUGUAAUUGGUUUACACUUGUGAACUUUGGGAUCAACGUGUGCUUAAGACAGUUUGGGGUAUGUGGAAUGAAACGUAUACAAAUUUUAAAUGUUAAUUAACUCGUUGCUUUUUUAUAGGGGACCACAGAUGACCAUUUAGCCAAUUGAAAAUAUCUUCUAUGGAACUCGAGCUGAACAAAGUGAAAACAAUUCUAUUUGCAAUUCAUAUCAACAGUUCAGAUAACUACAAACAGUUGCUGGUACCUCAUCACAUCACUAGUACACUGUCCUGUAACGCAUAGAGCACCAGUAAUCCCGAUUAAAAUUGGUGUUCAUCUGCUUCUUUGUAUCAAAUAAGUAAUCAAUUUUUCCGGCAAUUCAGUAAGCUAAAAGCAAUUCCGCAAAGUGGUUAUACAGAGUGGUGCAGAUCUUAAUAGCAAUGCGAGCUGUAGUAAUGUGGCCAGCGGAAAUCAAAGUACUCAUAGUGAAAAAAAAUAGUAUAUAUACCGCAUGGCCAUGGUAGAGAAGUCUAUUAUUGCCUUCGCACCUUACACCGCUCAGCGCAAGCGCAUCGGGAUUAUAAACUGUGCUCGGGCAAUAAUACUAGACUUCCCUACCUUGUUAUAUACUUUACUAGUUUCUAUGUCGUUUUGCUGUGCGUGAAAAAAAUAUAAUGGGAUUAAUAGGUAUGACAUUAAAAGAAAAUUGAAUAUAAUAAUAAAAAACUA